CUCUCACCUGAUUGAUCUGAGUUUGGAGUACACUGGCUAUCUGUGUAUUUCAGCACUGGUUAUCAAUGAUUGUCAUGAGUAGCUAAACCACUUCUUAACUGGGUAACGAUAUAAAUUCCACAACAAGACUAAACCACCAGACUGAUCAUCUAUCCCUCACAUCUAAUUUCCAACAAAUAUCUAGAACAAAUAACAAAUAAAUGCCUUACAUGUUGAGCAAGACCAAAAAAAAAGAAAAAAAGUCCAUCAGUCCUGAAUUUCUUUCACUCUUUCUCACUCAUGUUUGUUUGCACUCUUUUCUCUACUGUUUGGUUGGUGGCUCGUGUCUGCUUCUGUGUAGUCAGAUUUCUUUCAGGCAUGAUGAUGUUUGAUGUAUCUAAACAACAAAAAUUCUGCUAAUUCUAACCAACACCUAUGACACAGUGCUGACUGUGAAUUACUGUUACUGGAUUAUCAGCGUGACUCACAGCAACUCAUGAACAUUGUAUUGUUUAUCGUUUUUCUCAGUAAAUGUGGAAAAACUAAUUGCGACAUUAAACUUAAAAUCUGGUUGUGCCAAUUCAACAGCAAUAACUGCAAACAAACACUUCCGAUAACUGGAGAUCAGUCUUUCACUUACUUCUAGGACUAGGAUUUCCUCCUAUGCUUUGGAUCAUUGUCUUGCUGCAUAAUCCAGUUGCGCUUGAGUUUCAAUUUACUGACUGAAGUCCAGACAUCCUCCUUUAGGAUUUUCUGGUAGAGAGCAGAAUUCAUGUUUCCCUCAAUUACAGCAAGUUGCCCAGGCCCUGAAGCAACAAAACAUCCCCACACCAUCACACUUCCACCACCAUGCUUGACCGUAGGUAUGAUGAUCUUUUUGUGGAAUCCUGUGUUUGGUUUACACCAGAUGUAACGGGACCCCUGUCUUCCAAACAGUUCCACUUUUGACUCAUCAAUCCACAGAACAUUCUCCCAAAAGGUUUGAGGAUCAUCAAGGUGUGUUUUGACAAAAUUCAGACGAACCUUAAUGUUGUUCUGAGUUAGCAGUGGUUUUCACCUCGCCACUCUUCCAUGGAGGCAAUUUUUGCCCAGUGUCUUUCUGAUAGUGGAGUCAUGAACAGUGACCUUUAUUGAUGCAAGAGAGGACUUCCUGGAUGAGUAGUUGCUGUGCUCUUGGAGGAAUUUUGGAAGGUCGGACACUUCUGGGAAGGUUCAUUACUGUGUCGAGUUUUUCCAUUUGGAGAUAAUGGCUCUCACUGCAGUUUUUUGGAGUCUCAGACCCUUUGAAAUAGCUUUGUAACUGUGGUCAUUUACCACAGUUACAAGGGUAAGACCAGGGUAAGACCUUUUAACCAACUUCAUGCUGUUGAAAAAGUUUUAUUUAAGUGUUGAUUUGAUUGAACAGGGUUUGCAGUAAUCAGGCCUGCUUGUGUCUGGUCCAGCUGAACCCCAUUAUGAAUGCAGUUUCAUAGAUUCGGGGAAUUAAUAACUGCGGGGGAACGUACAUUUUCACACAGGCCAAGUUGGUAUUGGAUAACUUUUUUUUGCUUCAAUAAAUAACAUUAUCAUUUAAAAACUGUAUUGUGUGUUUACUCAGGUUGCCUUUGUUUUAUCUUAGAUUUUGUUUUAAUCUCUGAAACAAUUUAGUAUGAGAUAUACACAAAAACAGAAGAAAUCAGAAUGGGAGCAAAUAUUUUUU
ensembl:lncRNA